AGCCCUAUUAAUCCAUCCCGAGAUUUUAUCAGACAUUAGACCAUCAAGACUGAUAAGAUUUUCAAGAUAAAUGAGGCG
rnacentral:pre_miRNA from 1 species